rnacentral:rRNA from 1 species
UUUUAUGGAGAGUUUGAUCCUGGCUCAGGAUGAACGCUGGCGGCGUGCCUAAUACAUGCAAGUCGAGCGAAUGGACGAGGAGCUUGCUCCUCUGACGUUAGCGGCGGACGGGUGAGUAACACGUGGAUAACCUACCUAUAAGACUGGGAUAACUUCGGGAAACCGGAGCUAAUACCGGAUAAUAUAUUGAACCGCAUGGUUCAAUAGUGAAAGACGGUUUUGCUGUCACUUAUAGAUGGAUCCGCGCCGCAUUAGCU